UGGGGAAUAUUGGACAAUGGGCGCAAGCCUGAUCCAGCAAUGCCGCGUGGGUGAAGACGGCCUGCGGGUUGUAAAGCCCUUUGGGUGGGGAAGAACGGUGGUUUGCGAACAGCGGACUGCUCUGACAUUACCCACGGAACAAGCACCGGCUAACUCCGUGCCAGCAGCCGCGGUAAUACGGAGGGUGCGAGCGUUAAUCGGAAUUACUGGGCGUAAAGCGUGCGUAGGCGGACGGGUCAGUCAGCCGUGAAAGCCCCGGGCUCAACCUGGGAACGGCGGUUGAGACGGCCCGUCUGGAGUGGGCUAGAGGAUCGUGGAAUUCCGGGUGUAGCGGUGAAAUGCGUAGAGAUCCGGAGGAACACCGAUGGCGAAGGCAGCGAUCUGGGGCCACACUGACGCUGAGGCACGAAAGCGUGGGGAGCAAACAGGAUUAGAUACCCUGGUAGUCCACGCGGUAAACGAUGAGCACUAGACACCGGUGGGGUGACCUGUCGGUGUCGCAGCUAACGCGCUAAGUGCUCCGCCUGGGGAGUACGGCCGCAAGGUUG
rnacentral:rRNA from 1 species